AGUGAACGCUGGCGGUAGGCCUAACACAUGCAAGUCGAACGGCAGCACAGUAAGAGCUUGCCCUUACGGGUGGCGAGUGGCGGACGGGUGACGCAUACAUCGGAAUCUACUUUUUCUUGGGGGACAACGUAGGGACACUUACGCUAAUACCGCAUACGACCUACGGGUGAAAGCAGGGGAUCUUCAGACCUUUGGUGACUGAUAUAGCCGGUGUCGGAUUAGCUAGUUGGCGUGGUAAAGUCCCACCAAGGCGACGAUACGUAGCUGGUCUGAGAGGAUGAUCAGCCACACUGGAACUGAGACACGGUCCAGACUCCUACGGGAGGCAGCAGUAGGGAAUAUUGGACAAUGGGCGCAAGCCUGAUCCAGCCAUACCGCGUGAGUGAUGAAGGUCUUCGGGUUGUAAAGCCCUUUUGUUGGGAAAGAAAAACUGCAGGAGAAACCACCGCUGUUCUGACGGUACCUAAUGAGUAAGCACCGGCUAACUUCGUG
rnacentral:rRNA from 1 species